UACGUAGGGUCCGAGCGUUGUCCGGAGUUACUGGGCGUAAAGCGCGCGCAGGCGGCGGUGCUGGCCCGGCGUGAAAGCCCCCGGCUCAACCGGGGAGGGUCGUCGGGGACCGCACCGCUUGAGGGCGGUAGGGGCUGGUGGAAUGCCUGGUGUAGUAGUGAAAUGCGUAGAGAUCAGGCGGAACACCCGUGGCGAAGGCGGCCAGCUGGGCCGUCCCUGACGCUGAGGCGCGAAGGCGUGGGGAGCGAACGGG
rnacentral:rRNA from 1 species